AGGAGGUGGGGAGAAAAAACAACAACAACAACAACAAAAACCCAACAAAACAAGGCAGGAAAUUAUAACAACUUUUUUUUUUUUUUUUUUUUUUUUUUAAAUAAAUCUUUCAAUCAAAUGGAAAAAAAAUAUUCUACAGUCAUGUUUUGGAUGAGGUCAGCACAAAGGUCGCAGGCAUCAAGUUAAAGCAAUAUGUUUGCUUAAGUUUAAAGCAAUGAGGUGGUAAGUGGAAUGAUGCAGCAAGAAUAAUACAAAAGAAGGCCAUGCAACAUUGCUACGUGAGGAUAGCAAUAGUGAUUAAGAAAGACACAUCACUAAUUGCUCUCAUGCUUUAUUAUCACCCAGAUCUGCAGUUGCUGGGGAGUGAGGAUUUGGAAAGCCUUUUCCAGCAACUGGGAGGUUCUAUGCUGUGCAUCCACCUGUAGCCUCCAGCCCUUCAGAGGAAGGGAGAAGGAAGGGAUAUGCUCUCAGGAGACAGGUUAUGAAUCAAGAUCACUUCAUACUGAAUGCUGACAAGCAACUGAAGGAAGCUCUGAAGCAGAGGAUUCGUGUGAUAAAGCGCAUUGUGAAAUGCACAUGGUGGCAGCUGUUAAGCCUAAUGAAACCCACAGCAGGGAAGAAAACAAAGCAUCACCUACAAAAAGAAGAAGCAAGGACCACAGACAGAUCCUGUGUGGCAGCUGGAACCUGCUGCUCCAUUGGCCCUGGUGUCACUGGUGAGAUUCCUGUUGCUGGAGAAGAAAAAGUCAAGGGGAAGAGCCACUGGCUUCUAAAAUCAGCACUGGGAGUGAAAUAACACCAUGGCUUCAGGCAAGGUGAAGCUGGUGAAGGCUGGGUGCCUUAUGCUGGAUGCCUGAUGGCUGGAAAGACAAAGCUUUAUGAGGGUAUUCAUAGGCCCUCAGGGAAGUGUAAUGCCUUCCACUGAUGGACAGAAGAUCCAUUAAAUUAAUCCACAUCUGUCUCACAAGGCUAUGCAAAAACAUCCACGCCAACGUAACCACAAUCCUUAGAUGUAGACUUGUGGAGUUUAUCCAUCCUGGAGACC
rnacentral:lncRNA from 1 species